rnacentral:rRNA from 1 species
UACGGAGGGUGCAAGCGUUGUUCGGAAUUACUGGGCGUAAAGAGCGUGUAGGCGGCUGAUCAAGUCCGGUGUGAAAGCCCGGGGCUUACCCCCGGAAGUGCGCUGGAAACUGAUCGACUAGAGUAUGGGAGAGGGAAGUGGAAUUCCUGGUGUAGCGGUGAAAUGCGUAGAUAUCAGGAGGAACACCGGCGGCGAAGGCGGCUUCCUGGACCAAUACUGACGCUGAGACGCGAAAGCGUGGGGAGCAAACAGG